AUAUUUUAUUUUUUUUAAAAACGAAGACAAUUUCUGAGUUCUCGAAAAGUUUAACGAGAACAAAAAUAUGUUCGCUUUAUUAUUAUAAUAAACGCUAAUGAGUUACUCGAAUCAUUUGUUGUUCGCAAAUACUUUUCAGGGUCUAGACUACGUAGACGUAUAGUCAAGAGAUGUACAAAGACCGCGCGGACAGAGGACUGCAAAUCCGUCGACAAUGGCGAAACGCAAAAUGCGUCUGUGGCCGAUAUUUUUUCGUCUGGGACUUUUUAUAAACAAUUUUUGCAGAUCAAAUCGACCGCGAAAAC